rnacentral:rRNA from 1 species
GACGAACCGAGCGAACGUUGUUCGGAAUCACUGGGCUUAAAGGGCGCGUAGGCGGGCGGUCACGUCCGGGGUGAAAUCCCGUGGCUCAACCACGGAACGGCCUCGGAUACGGGCGGCCUGGAGGGGGGUAGGGGCACCUGGAACUGUGGGUGGAGCGGUGAAAUGCGUUGAUAUCCACAGGAACUCCGGUGGCGAAGGCGAGGUGCUGGACCCCACCUGACGCUGAGGCGCGAAAGCCAGGGGAGCGAACGGGAUUAGAUACCCCGGUAGUCCUGGCCCUAAACGAUGGGGACUAGGUAGCGGCCCGGACAUGGGGUCGCUGCCGGAGCUAAAGUGCUAAGUCCCCCGCCUGGGGAGUAUGGUCGCAAGGCUGAA